AGGAGGGGAACGGUAUUAAGACAUGGUUCGGCAGGUCGACGCGUGAUCCCAAGCCCUUUAGACGAGGCAGUGGAGAGAGCGGGGGAGAGGACCUAGAAGAGGGGGAAGAUAGACCAUGGAUCAAGGCCGCGGAAACUUCGUGCUCGAGGGGAGGAGAAGAGACUCAGCCCGGGCUACUUCAGCGGUAACGACGGCCGCUCGCGCAUUUACAUCGCCACAACACGACAUCGAGGACCCCUGCUUCUCCUUGAUGGGUUUCCUCGGCUGAUAGAACACGUGGAACUGCUAAAGUCCAACACGCCAACUUUAUCCUGGACCGGUAGCAGGAAAUAUCGAGUCCUAGGUUCGACGCCCUCGUGACCUGGCCCCUUUAACAAUGACGUCGCUUCGUACGGUGUAGAGGAGACCCCGAAGGGGCAGGGUCAGCGUGC
rnacentral:rRNA from 1 species